AACGAACGCUGGCGGCAGGCUUAACACAUGCAAGUCGAACGCCCCGCAAGGGGAGUGGCAGACGGGUGAGUAACGCGUGGGAAUCUACCCAGAUCUACGGAACAACAGUUGGAAACGACUGCUAAUACCGUAUACGCCCUACGGGGGAAAGAUUUAUCGGAUUUGGAUGAGCCCGCGUUGGAUUAGCUAGUUGGUGGGGUAAUGGCCUACCAAGGCGACGAUCCAUAGCUGGUCUGAGAGGAUGAUAAGCCACACUGGGACUGAGACACGGCCCAGACUCCUACGGGAGGCAGCAGUGGGGAAUAUUGGACAAUGGGCGCAAGCUUGAUCCAGCCAUGCCGCGUGAGUGAUGAAGGCCUUAGGGUUGUAAAGCUCUUUCACCGAUGAAGAUAAUGACGGUAGUCGGAGAAGAAGCCCCGGCUAACUUCGUGCCAGCCGCCGCGGUAACAC
rnacentral:rRNA from 1 species